AUCAGCCCUUUCUUUGCCAGCUUCUGUGAGCAGGGCCUGCCUCUGGCUCUCAGCUUAAUUUUGCUUCAUGUUAGCAAAGUCUUGACUAUUACUUUAGCUCAGGCCUUAGGUCUCAUACCAGGCCUCUGAUACCAAGGGUUUAUGUUUCAGGGCCUCCUCUUAUUACAGGUACCUGGAUGGAGUCCUGAGUCUGGAUCACUUUAAGGGAACUGUGUUUGGACUUCUGAGUAACCCGUAAGAUAAGAGCUUCUGUGUUACCAGAAUCCCUUCAGAUGUAAAGUUUUAAUGGCAACCCUUGUACCAGGCCUCAGCCGCAGUGACACAGGACACAAUUCUGACCCUACCUAAAGCUUGCAGGAGGUGAGCUCAAGAAUUUUGGCUGUGUCUCUGUGACGGCAUCCAACAGGUGGCUGACGCAGGUGACCAUAGACGGUUGUGUGAGGACAUUAGAACAGCCAUUGGGCCGAUAAAGAACAAAACAGCUCCACUGAAAGAUCUGGAUGGCAAUAUUAUAACUGAUAAAGGGAACAACUGGAGAGGUAGAUGGAGCACUAUGGAAUGAUAUACUCAAGGGAGUCUGUAGUAGACCAACGAGUGUUAGACAAAUUGUCUGGGUUUGAAGUUAUGACUUCACUGGAUGUCAAACCUACACUGGAGGAAAAAGAUUCCCAACAACAAAGCUUUAGGACUGACUGUUUACCUGCUGAAAUCUACAAAUGUGCAAAGACUGCAUGAAGUGCUGCUACUCUGUUGGAAGGAAGAAACUGUUCUGCAAGAUUUUAAGGAUGUUUGUUUCAUCCUACUCUAUUAAAACAAAGGAGACAGAAGUGAUUAUAAUAACCACAGAGGUAUAUCUCUUCUUCAUAUAGUGGGAAAAAUUUUUAGCUAGACUUCAAACUUUAGCUGAGAGAAUAUAUCCCAAGAGUCAGUGUGACUUCUGCUCGGGAAGGUCCACCAUAGACAUGGUCUUCUCUGUAAGACAAUUGCAGGAAAAGCGCUGAGAGAAGCGUAUUCCACUGUACAUGGCUUUUAUAGAUUUAACAAAAGCCUUUGACGUGGUUCGACAGUCACGGCUUUACACUGUUCUGAAGAGGCUUGUGAAAUACUUACAUGAUAGCAUGAAGGCAACUGUAAUGUAAGAAAACCAAGAGUCUGACUCAUUUAACAUCAACAGUGGAGUGAAGGAGAGUUGUGUACUGGCUUCUACAUUGUUUAAUAUUUAUUUCUCAUUCCCGCUUCAAUACGCGUUCUGUGAUGUUCGAAAUGGUGUCUAUUUUAGCACUAGACAUGCUGGAAUUUUGUUUAACAUUGGAAGGUUCAGAGCUAAGACGAAGGUGAAGGAGAUCAUCAUGAGGGACCUGUUGUUUGCAGAUGACGCAGCCCUUGUGGGUCUUAGUGUUGAUGCCCUACAACAUCUUAUUACCAAGUUCUUUGAUUCAUGCAAAAUAUUUGGGCUAGCAAUAUGCUUGAAGAAGUCUAUUAUUAUGCACCAAGACUCUUCAGAACCAGUUCCAGAUAUCACCUUAUAUGGUAUUCGUCUAGAUGUUGUUGACUAAUUUUGCUACCUUAGCUCUACUGUUACCAGCAAUAUAGCUCUUGAUGCUGAGCUUACUAGUAGAAUUGGCAAAGCAACCAGGAACUUUGGUCUUUUGCAAGACAGAUCCUGGAACAAUAACAAGUUGUCAACUAAAGUGAAAAUCCAUAUUUAUGAGACGUGUUUUAUCCACUCUUCUAUAUGGCUCAGAAACAUGGAUGACUUAUGCCAAACAUACCAAAAGACUAAAUAGUUUUCAUAUCAGAUGCUUGUAUAAAAUUCUUUGAAUAAUAUGGCAAGACAGGGUGACAAAGGUGGAAGUGUUAAAUUGUGCUGGUAUGUCAUUCAUGGGAACGUUCAUGGGAAGAAAAGGUGGCUUGAACAUCUCAAUAGAAUGCCGGACUACAGGAUCCCAAAGAGUGUGCUGUACUCUGAAGCUCGUGAAGGGUCUAGAAAGAGAGGCAGACCGCUGUGCAGAUUUUGGGAUGUUUGCAAAGAUGAUUUAGUAUCCUUUGGAAUCUCUGUGGAUGAUUGGGAAAGGAGUGCAGAAUGCUCCUCUGGUUGGAGGAGUAGACUUGUAGAUUGACUGAGGCAUUGUAAGGCGGACUGGAUCAAGCUUUGUUAUGUCCGGUGUCAGAGGAGGAAAGAAUCUGCUGCUCGGAUUCAGAGUGUGACAGAUUACCCCCCCCACAGGGUGCCACCUGAUGUACUGGGGUACCAGUGAGCCUGCCUGUUCCACCAGCCUGGGCUUCCUUACACGGUCUUGCUGAGCCAGGCCCUCAAGCCUCCUGUAGCACACACACAGGUAAGGACGCACCCAGUGCAGAAAGACACAGACACUGAAAUCAGCACCACAUGGGAAGGCUUCAGCUAGAGAGUUGCCCAGCACCCAAGUGCAAACCUGUCUGGAGUGUAAACCCCAAAUUGUAUCAUCUUGCGCUGCACAGAGAACUAUACAGCGUAAGCUCAUGAAAUCCGCCCCCU